GACGAACCGUGCGGACGUAUUCGGAAUCACUGGGCUUAAAGCGCGUGUAGGCGGGCCGGCACGUCGGUCGCUGAAAUCCCCCGGCUCAACCGGGGAAGGGGCGUCGAUACGACCGGCCUGGAGGGGGGUAGGGGGCGCGGAACUUCCGGUGGAGCGGUGAAAUGCGUUGAGAUCGGAAGGAACGCCCGUGGCGAAAGCGGGCGCCUGGACCCCACCUGACGCUGAGACGCGAAAGCCAGGGGAGCGAACGGG
rnacentral:rRNA from 1 species